rnacentral:tRNA from 1 species
GCCCGGCCGGCCCGUUCACGUCGGCGCCUUCCGCGCGCCGGAACGUGUCGCGUGCGAGGCACAGGUCGGCCC